rnacentral:rRNA from 1 species
GAUGAACGCUGGCGGCGUGCCUAAUACAUGCAAGUCGAGCGAACAGACGAGGAGCUUGCUCCUCUGACGUUAGCGGCGGACGGGUGAGUAACACGUGGAUAACCUACCUAUAAGACUGGGAUAACUUCGGGAAACCGGAGCUAAUACCGGAUAAUAUAUUGAACCGCAUGGUUCAAUAGUGAAAGACGGUUUUGCUGUCACUUAUAGAUGGAUCCGCGCCGCAUUAGCUAGUUGGUAAGGUAACGGCUUACCAAGGCAACGAUGCGUAGCCGACCGGAGAGGGUGAUCGGCCACACUGGAACUGACACACGGUCCAGACUCCUACGGGAGGCAGCAGUAGGGAAUCUUCCGCAAUGGGCGAAAGCCUGACGGAGCAACGCCGCGUGAGUGAUGAAGGUCUUCGGAUCGUAAAACUCUGUUAUUAGGGAAGAACAAAUGUGUAAGUAACGAUGCACGUCUUGACGGUACCUAAUCAGAAAGCCACGGCUAACUACGU